rnacentral:rRNA from 1 species
AGCACCACAACGGGUGGAGCUUGCGGUUUAAUUGGAUUCAACGCCGGAAAUCUUACCGGGACCGACAGCAAUAUGAAGGCCAGGCUGAAGACUUUGCCGGAUUAGCUGAGAGGUGGUGCAUGGCCGUCGUCAGUUCGUACUGUGAAGCAUCCUGUUAAGUCAGGCAACGAGCGAGACCCACGCCCACAGUUGCCAGCGUACUCUCUGGAGUGACGGGUACACUGUGGGACCGCCGCUGCUAAAGCGGAGGAAGGAAUGGGCAACGGUAGGUCAGUAUGCCCCGAAUAUCCCGGGCUACACGCGAGCUACAAUGGUUGGUACAAUGGGUAUCUACCCCGAAAGGGGGCGGGAAUCUCCUAAAACCAAUCUUAGUUCGGAUUGAGGGCUGCAACUCGCCCUCAUGAAGCUGGAAUCCGUAGUAAUCGCGUUUCAACAGAACGCGGUGAAUACGUCCCUGCUCCUU